rnacentral:sRNA from 1 species
AUCUGCAUUUUCAAAAAGAUUCAAUCACAUUCACUUACACUUUCAGAACUGCUUCAGCAGUGUACAUCUACAUCUAUACAAGCUUUUCAAGAUCUGAUAAAGCAGAUAAGUCAAUGUCAUCAUUGACUUUCAGUUGAUAUUAAAAAAAUUCUCUGCACUGAGAAGAAUAUUGCUCUGAACAGAGAGAUUCUCUUAAUAGAGAAUAAGAAUCUUCAGACUGCUCUAAAUAAUGAGAGAAGACAAUACAAACAGAGUAAGUGUAUAAGAUUGCUUAAUUCAUCAAAUCCCUCACUUACUCAAUUCUUUUCUCUCACAAAGGUGCAGACUGCAAAGAAGCAAGCAGAGGCUAAUGAAACUGCAAAAAUCAAUGAUCAGACACACAAGAAGAAUAUGAAGCUUCAAUGAGCAAUUCUUCAUAAACAAAAACAGACAGAGCUCAUGAAGUGGAAGAAACAAUAUGAAAAGAAACAUUUAGAAGCUGCUCAAUGCUAUGAGAAGAUCAAAGCUGCAGCUGCAGCUAAACAUUGUAUAGAGAAGCAACAGUGAGAUGAACAGAAGCUUCAACUGCAAAAAGAGAAGAAAGAACAUACUGCUAAACAUCAUGAAGCACAGUUGACAAAGAAGACACUCACAGAGAUCUCAAAGAGAUCUACAAAAAGAUCAACAGUGAGCUCAAAACAUCAUAGAAGCUCUAUACAAUCUUCUAAAAGCAGUAAUAAAUGCUGUAUACAGACUCUCUCAGUGGAAUCAAAUGAUAUUCCUUCUUUGAAACCUUCUACACUGUGAUCCAAUUCAACCAUUUCAAAACCAUG